rnacentral:rRNA from 1 species
AGCAGCCGCGGUAAUUCCAGCUCCAAUAGCGUAUAUUAAAGUUGUUGCAGUUAAAAAGCUCGUAGUUGAACUUCGGGAUCAAUGAAUCGGUCAUGCUUUAGUAUGUACUGGUUCUAUUGGUUCUCACCUUCUAAGGAACCAUAAUGUCAUUCAUUUGAUGUUGUGGGGAAUUAGGACUGUUACCUUGAAAAAAUUAGAGUGUUUAAAGCAGGCUAACGCUUGAAUACAUUAGCAUGGAAUAAUGAAAUAGGACAUCGCAUUCUAUUUUGUUGGUUUCUAGGAUCGAUGUAAUGAUUAAUAGGGAUAGUUGGGGGCAUUAGUAUUCAAUUGUCAGAGGUGAAAUUCUUGGAUUUAUUGAAGACUAACUACUGCGAAAGCAUUUGCCAAGGAUGUUUUCAUUAAUCAAGAACGAAAGUUAGGGGAUCGAAGACGAUCAGAUACCGUCGUAGUCUUAACCAUAAACUAUGCCGACUAGGGAUCGGAUGAUGUUGAUUUUAUAAUGUA